CAAGACAAUUUUCAUUUAAUAUUUAAUAUAGAUAGCCAAUACUUAAAAUAAGCAAAUAAAGUCCAGAAUAUGCCAAGCAUUAUCUCACAGCAAUAUCUAAAUGCCACAACAUAUUUCUGCAUCCACUCCCUAUACUGCAAAAAAUACCAUGCUACAGUCUCUGGAAGAAAAUACUAGAAAAUGUAGAUUU